rnacentral:rRNA from 1 species
GAUGAACGCUGGCGGCGUGCCUAAUACAUGCACGUCGAGCGAACAGACGAGGAGCUUGCUCCUUUGACGUUAGCGGCGGACGGGUGAGUAACACGUGGGUAACCUACCUAUAAGACUGGGAUAACUUCGGGAAACCGGAGCUAAUACCGGAUAAUAUUUCGAACCGCAUGGUUCGAUAGUGAAAGAUGGCUUUGCUAUCACUUAUAGAUGGACCUGCGCCGUAUUAGCUAGUUGGUAAGGUAACGGCUUACCAAGGCAACGAUACGUAGCCGACCUGAGAGGGUGAUCGGCCACACUGGAACUGAGACACGGUCCAGACUCCUACGGGAGGCAGCAGUAGGGAAUCUUCCGCAAUGGGCGAAAGCCUGACGGAGCAACGCCGCGUGAGUGAUGAAGGUCUUCGGAUCGUAAAACUCUGUUAUUAGGGAAGAACAAACGUGUAAGUAACUGUGCACGUCUUGACGGUACCUAAUCAGAAAGCCACGGCUAACUACGUG